GGGAGGGCAAAGAGCCACUGUGACAGCCUUUUUGGGUAUCUGCACUUGGUGGCUCCUGAAUUCUUGUCCAGUGCCCAAGAAGAAUGAGGUCAUGCAGACAAAUCAAAGGAUGUCAAGUCACCUCUUUCUGACGUCCAGCCACUGUCUCUGAAGUCAAGUCACCUCUUUCUGAUGUCCAGCUGCUUCUCUGAAGUCAAGUCACCUCUCCCUGUGAUCCAGCCACUUCUCUGAAGUCAAGUCACCUCUCCCCGACAUCCAGCCAUGUCUCUGAAGUCAGGAACUUACAGUCCUGUUUAAAGACACGAAGAGAAAAACGAGAUGCCAAACCACAGUGGGAGUUUAGAGAAGACUGUGAUGAGAGUUGGAGCAUUCUUGGGGAGUCUUUGCUGCAGAGAUGGGACUUUAUGCAUCAGUACAUUCUUAAAGUGUCUACGCUGCCCCGGGAUGCUGAGCCCCUGGACACCACAGGUGGCAUUUCAGCUAUGAGUGAGGGGGGGCAUUUGGAAGGGGAGCCCCGAAGGGGAAGACAAUGGCUCAGAGAGAAUGAAGUCAGCACUUCCCAGCCUCUGUGUGCUGCGGUCCAAGGCUUCGGCCGGGAGCACUGCAGAGCAAAAGUUCUGAGAGCCACGGCUCAGGCUUAACUGGCCAGAGCGAGCUUGGCAGCUGCUCUCGUCCCAGCAGGCUUUGCUCUCUGAGGCAGUCAUUCCCACCACACAAAGGCAGUUCUGUGCCUCCCAAAGGUGCUUGGGGCAGGAAUGAAGAGCGGAACAGCCCCCAUCAAUCCAAUAGGAUUGUCGUUUUACGCUGGCGUGGAGCCUCAGACAUCAAAAGGGCUGGAGAGUGAAGCCACGUGUGAGCCGUGAAGCUUUCAUCAGGCCUCUGUGAAAUGGGCAUGGUGAUCCUCCUCCAGCCUUCUCCACGGGUGGCCAUAAGAACCAAAGAAGAAAGUGCAGGCGAAGCUCCAAGUGGAAAGCAUAAUGAUUAGGAUGGGAUGGGCCUUCAGGGAAGCCUGCUGGAUGCCAUCCAGGACACACUUGCUCCAGUUGGUGACCCUGAGGCACAGAAAGCUGAGGGAAUUUGUUCGAAGUCACACAGCUGGGUCCUUGCAGAUGUAAUCGGGUGAAGAUGGGUUCAUAUUGGAUUGGAGUGAGUCAUAAUCCACUGUGACUGGUGUCUUUAAAAGAAAAGGACACACGGAAAUUCAGAGACAGAAAGACCCACAGGGAGAAUGCCAUGUGAUGACAGAGGCAGAGACUGGAGUGAUGGGUCUAUAGCCAACGGACACCAAAGACUCUCAUCCACCAGAAGCUGGAAGAGGCAAGAAGUGGAAAAGCAUUUGGGAGGAAGUGGAACCAAAGCAGAUCCUAUCCAAGGUGAAUGGCAAGCAGCUAUAUGAGGAUGGCCUUGCUCCCAGCCGGAUCUCCCAUCCUCAAGAAGGCCAGCCCAGGCUUCAUCACACAGCAGUGGAAGAGUUCUGAUUUAAGAGAAGAAGAGUGGAAGCUGCAGGUCCUGUUGAGACCUGGACUAGGAAGACACACAAUGCCACUUCUGCCACAUUCUAGUUGUCAUUUCUGGUUGUGAAAGCAAGUCCCAGGGCCAGUCAAGAUUCAA
rnacentral:lncRNA from 1 species